rnacentral:rRNA from 1 species
UACGUAGGCAGCAGGCGUUGGUCGGAAUUACUGGGCGUAAAGAGUGUGUAGGUGGUGUCGUAAGUUUGGUGUGAAAUCUCCCGGCUUAACUGGGAGGGUGCGCCGAAGACUGCGAUGCUUGAGUAUGGGAGAGGAAAGCGGAAUUCCUGGUGUAGCGGUGAAAUGCGUAGAUAUCAGGAGGAACACCUGCGGUGUAGGCGGCUUUCUGGACCAUUACUGACACUGAGACGCGAAAGCGUGGGGAGCAAACGGG